rnacentral:rRNA from 1 species
AUUGAACGCUGGCGGCGUGCCUAACACAUGCAAGUCGAGCGGUAACAGGUGUAGCAAUACAUGCUGACGAGCGGCGAACGGGUGAGUAAUGCUUCGGAAUCUACCCAAUGGUGGGGAAUAACCAGCCGAAAGGUUGGCUAAUACCGCAUACGUCCCACGGGAGAAAGCAGGGGAUCGCAAGACCUUGCGCCAAUGGAUGAGCCGAAGUCGGAUUAGCUAGUUGGAGGGUAACGGCCUACCAAGGCGACGAUCCGUAGCUGGUCUGAGAGGACGACCAGCCACACUGGGACUGAGACACGGCCCAGACUCCUACGGGAGGCAGCAGUGGGGAAUAUUGGACAAUGGGGGAAACCCUGAUCCAGCGACGCCGCGUGUGUGAAGAAGGCCUGCGGGUUGUAAAGCACUUUUAGUGGGAUGAAAUGUUCAGGUUAACACCUCUGGUAUUUUGUACCUAACCCACAAGAAAAGACACCGCUAACUCUGUGCCAGCCGCCGCGGUAAG